rnacentral:rRNA from 1 species
UGCUCCAGAAUAGCUCUUGGAAACGGGUGGUAAUGCUGGAUGCUCCAACUGACGCAUGUCUUGUUGGGAAAGUGUUUAGUGGCAUGGGAUGGGGUCGCGUCCUAUCAGCUUGUAGGCGGGGUAAUGGCCCACCUAGGCUUCGACGGGUAGCCGGCCUGAGAGGGCGGACGGCCACAUUGGGACUGAGAUACGGCCCAGACUCCUACGGGAGGCAGCAGGU